rnacentral:rRNA from 1 species
UACGUAGGGACCGAGCGUUGUCCGGAAUCAUUGGGCGUAAAGAGCGUGUAGGCGGCCCGGUAAGUCCGCUGUGAAAGUCGGGGGCUCAACCCUCGAAUGCCGGUGGAUACUGUCGGGCUAGAGUGCGGAAGAGGCGAGUGGAAUUCCUGGUGUAGCGGUGAAAUGCGCAGAUAUCAGGAGGAACACCAAUUGCGAAGGCAGCUCGCUGGGACGUAACUGACGCUGAGACGCGAAAGCGUGGGGAGCAAACAGG